CCCUUAGAUGUUCGGGGCCGCACGCGCGCUACACUGAAGGAAUCAGCACGUCUUUCUCCUUGUCCGAAAGGACUGGGUAACCCGCUGAACCUCCUUCGUGCUAGGGAUUGGGGCUUGUAAUUCUUCCCCAUGAACGAGGAAUUCCUAGUAAGCGCAAGUCAACAGCUUGCGUUGAUUACGUCCCUGCCCUUUGUACACACCGCCCGUCGCUACUACUGAUUGGAUGUUUAAGCGAGGUUCUCGAACUGCUAGCGACUUAGCUUCGGUGAGGUCGCAGUGUGGGAAGUGAACCUAGCUUUGGUGUCUAGAGGAAGUAAAAGUCGUAACA
rnacentral:rRNA from 1 species